rnacentral:lncRNA from 1 species
CCCGAAGUGCUGAGAUUACCAUAGAGAAGGGAAGUGGUCUGCCAUGGUAAGAAGUGCUGGCUUCCCCUUUGCCUUUCGCCAUGAUUGCAAGUUUCCUGAAGGCUUCCAGUCAUGCUUCCUGUUAUGUCUGCAGAACUGUGGAGUCUUGCUCUGUCGCCAGGCUGGAGUAUGGUGGCGCGAUCUCAGCUCACUGCAACCUCCGCCUCCCAGGUUCAAGUGAUUCUCCUGUCUCAGCCUCCCAAGUAGCUGGGACUACAGGGGCCCACCACCACGCCCAGCUAGUUUUUGUAUUUUUAGUAAGAGAAGAGGUUUCACCAUGUUGGCCAGGAUUUUCUCGAUCUCCUUACCUUGUGAUCUGCCCACCUCAGCCUCCCAAACUGCUGGGAUUACAGGCGUGAGCCACUGCACCUAGCCUUAAGGUCAUUUUUGUAGGGUUUUACAUAAGGACUAUUCAGAAAGAUAAGGACAAAAUAUGAGGGUAGUGCAGUAAUGUGGGAGGAGCAACCUCAGAACUUACUGACCUGAGACCCAGAAGGAAGAAGGAAGGUAGGAAGCUGCCACAAGAACAGCUGUGCCCUUCAGUCCAGGGACACAACUAAAGUGACCCUGGGACACAAAUAUCCUGCCUGCAUCCUCCUUCUUCCCUCUUCUCUGCUGAUUGAUGCCUCCAACUGGUUGAACCCAACCAGAACCCAUUCCAAGCAGGUCAGUGUCCCUGGGCAGACAGCAAGGUGAACAGUAGUUGAGAGGGGACAUGAAGGUACAGACAGAAGCAAUCCAAAGUGACAUAACACGUAUAUAUUCUCGGCAAGCCUACACAUGGCUUAUCAGUGAUAUUUUGCAUGUUGCAUUUCUCUCCUUUUUCUUUGUUGGCAUGUUUAUUUGUUGUAAAGCAUCAUUGUAACUAAAGCCUGUUGGUAAACUUACACAGAUUAAAGCAAAGUCCAGAAUAGUUUGGCA